AGGACGAACGCUGGCGGCGUGCUUAACACAUGCAAGUCGAGCGGAAAGGCCCUUCGGGGUACUCGAGCGGCGAACGGGUGAGUAACACGUGAGCAAUCUGCCCUUAGCUUCGGGAUAGCUCCGGGAAACCGGAAUUAAUACCGAAUAUGACUGUGGUCGACAUCUGCCACGGUGGAAAGUUUUUCGGCUAGGGAUGAGCUCGCGGCCUAUCAGCUUGUUGGUGGGGUAAUGGCCUACCAAGGCGACGACGGGUAGCCGGCCUGAGAGGGCGACCGGCCACACUGGGACUGAGACACGGCCCAGACUCCUACGGGAGGCAGCAGUGGGGAAUAUUGCGCAAUGGGCGAAAGCCUGACGCAGCGACGCCGCGUGGGGGAUGAAGGCCUUCGGUUGUAACCCCUUUCAGCAGGGACGAAGCGAAAGUGACGGUACCUGCAGAAGAAGCGCCGGCUAACUACGUGCCAGCAGCCGC
rnacentral:rRNA from 1 species